rnacentral:rRNA from 1 species
AUUGAACGCUGGCGGCAUGCCUUACACAUGCAAGUCGAACGGCAGCACGGGAGCAAUCCUGGUGGCGAGUGGCGAACGGGUGAGUAAUAUAUCGGAACGUGCCCAGUCGUGGGGAUAACGUAGCGAAAGCUACGCUAAUACCGCAUACGAUCUAUGGAUGAAAGCGGGGGAUCGCAAGACCUCGCGCGAUUGGAGCGGCCGAUAUCAGAUUAGGUAGUUGGUGAGGUAAAGGCUCACCAAGCCGACGAUCUGUAGCUGGUCUGAGAGGACGACCAGCCACACUGGGACUGAGACACGGCCCAGACUCCUACGGGAGGCAGCAGUGGGGGAAUUUUUGGACAAUGGGCGCAAGCCUGAUCCAGCAAUGCCGCGUGCAGGAUGAAGGCCCUUC